rnacentral:rRNA from 1 species
GUUGAACGCUGGCGGCGUGCCUAAUACAUGCAAGUCGAACGAACACACGAGGAAGUUUCCCGCCUCACGUUAGCGGCGCGCAGGUGAGUAAAAUGUGGGUAACCUAGCUAUAAGACUGGGAUAAAUUCGUGAAAACGGUGCUAAAUCCGGCAUAUAUAUGCAACCGCAUGGUUCAGUAGUUAAAGACGGUUUUGCUGCCACUGUUAGAUGGAUCCGCGCCGCAUUUGCUAGGUUGUAAGGUCACGGCUUACCAAGGCAACGAUGCGUAUGCGACCUGAGCGGGAGGUCGGCCACACCGGGACUGGGGCACGGUCCAAACCCCCACGGGAGGCCGGAGGAGGGAAUCUUCGGAAAUGGGGGGAAGCCUGACGGCACACCGGCGGGUGAGAUAAAAAGGUCUUCGGAUUGUUAAACUCUGUUAUUCGGGAAGAAAAAAUGUAUAAGUAACUACGCACGUCUUGACGGUACCUAAUCAGAGAGCCACGGCUAACUACGUG